ACACAUGCAAGUCGUACCAGUGAGUAACGCAGUCAGCUUGCUGCUUUGCUGACGAGUGGCGGACGGGUGAGUAAUGUCUGGGAAACUGCCUGAUGGAGGGGGAUAACUACUGGAAACGGUAGCUAAUACCGCAUAACGUCGCAAGACCAAAGAGGGGGACCUUCGGGCCUCUUGCCAUCGGAUGUGCCCAGAUGGGAUUAGCUAGUAGGUGGGGUAACGGCUCACCUAGGCGACGAUCCCUAGCUGGUCUGAGAGGAUGACCAGCCACACUGGAACUGAGACACGGUCCAGACUCCUACGGGAGGCAGCAGUGGGGAAUAUUGCACAAUGGGCGCAAGCCUGAUGCAGCCAUGCCGCGUGUAUGAAGAAGGCCUUCGGGUUGUAAAGUACUUUCAGCGGGGAGGAAGGGAGUAAAGUUAAUACCUUUGCUCAUUGACGUUACCCGCAGAAGAAGCACCGGCUAACUCCGUGCCAGCAGCCGCGGUAAUACGGAGGGUGCAAGCGUUAAUCGGAAUUACUGGGCGUAAAGCGCACGCAGGCGGUUUGUUAAGUCAGAUGUGAAAUCCC
rnacentral:rRNA from 1 species